rnacentral:rRNA from 1 species
AGUGAACGCUGGCGGUAGGCCUAACACAUGCAAGUCGAACGGCAGCACAGUAAGAUCUUGCUCUUACGGGUGGCGAGUGGCGGACGGGUGAGGAAUACAUCGGAAUCUACUUUUUCGUGGGGGAUAACGUAGGGAAACUUACGCUAAUACCGCAUACGACCUACGGGUGAAAGCAGUGGAUCUUCGGACCUUUCGCGAUUGAAUGAGCCGAUGUCGGAUUAGCUAGUUGGCGGGGUAAAGGCCCACCAAGGCGACGAUCCGUAGCUGGUCUGAGAGGAUGAUCAGCCACACUGGAACUGAGACACGGUCCAGACUCCUACGGGAGGCAGCAGUGGGGAAUAUUGGACAAUGGGCGAAAGCCUGAUCCAGCCAUACCGCGUGGGUGAAGAAGGCCUUCGGGUUGUAAAGCCCUUUUGUUGGGAAAGAAAAGAAGCAGGUUAAUACCCCGCUGUUCUGACGGUACCCAAAGAAUAAGCACCGGCUAACUUCGUG